GGACUUCCGGUUGAGGGGUGGGGCUCUGCGAGUGGGCGGGGCUUCGUGACGCAAGCCUCUGAUUGGCUGCAGGCCGGUGGAGGCGGAGCCAGAGCUGGAGGCGGCUGUUGCCAUGGGAGCGGAACCGGAAGUGCUGGUGGCGACACGCGCCCUCUGCAGGAUGCGGGAGGAAGCGCUGAUGGCGCUGCUGGAGCCACGCCCACUUCCGGAGACGCGGCAGCUGAUGGCCGCCUCCAACAAGCGCUGGCUGCAGGCGGCCCAGGCGCUGCUGGACCGCCACCGCCCCGGGGCCGUGCU